rnacentral:rRNA from 1 species
AGUAAAGAUUUUAAGGGCGUACGGUGGAUGCCUUGGCGAUAUCAGCCGAAGAAGGACGCGGUAAGCUGCGAUAAGCUACGGAGAGAUGCAAGCAAUCUUUGACCCGUAGAUUUCCGAAUGGGGGAACCCGGCAGUGGUUAUGCACUGUCACCCAUAGCUUAGACUAUGAGGAGGGCACCUGGGGAACUGAAACAUCUAAUUACCCAGAGGAAAAGUAAUCAAACGAGAUUUUCUUAGUAGCGGCGAGCGAACGGGAAAGAGGCCAAACCGGAGCGGGCAACCGCACCGGGGUUGAGGACAGUCAUCAAGUGUUGGGACUGUAUCCAGAGUACCACGAGACACGUGAAACCUUGUGGGAAGCAGGGGGGACCACCCUCCAAGCCAAAAUACUGAUAUCGACCGAUAGCGCAUAGUACCGUGAGGGAAAGGUGAAAAGAACCCCUGGCGGGGAGUGAAAGAGAACCUGAAACCGUAUGUCUACAAACAGUCGAAGUCUGUAUAUAUAUCAGGACGACGGCGUGCCUAUUGAAGAAUGAACCGACGAGUUACUGUUGCUAGCGAGGUUAAGUGGAAAACAUGGAGCCGCAGCGAAAGCGAGUCUGAACAGGGCGUUCAGUUAGUGAUAGUAGACCCGAAACCGUAGUGAUCUAUCCAUGGCCAGGUUGAAGCACAGGUAAAAUUGUGUGGAGGACCGAACUCGUGAGCGUUGAAAAGCUUUGGGAUGAGUUGUGGAUAGGGGUGAAAUGCCAAUCGAACACGGAGAUAGCUGGUUCUCCCCGAAAUAGCUUUAGGGCUAGCCUCGAGGUUGAGAGUAUAGGCGGUAGAGCACUGAUCGGGCUAGGGGCCAUACCGGUUACCGAACCUAGUCAAACUACGAAUGGCUAUACUUAUACUCGGGAGUCAGACAGUGAAUGAUAAGGUCCAUUGUCAAGAGGGAAACAGCCCAGAACACCGACUAAGGUCCC